rnacentral:sRNA from 1 species
UGGAAUCUGAAACCAUGUCAAUGAUCUUUUGAUAUUCUGUGCAUUAAAAUCUGCCUUGAACUUUAAAUGAAUCUUUUAUCCAUGGUGAAUCCUGUGUGUGUGUGUGUGUGUGUGUGUGUGUGUGUGUGUGGUGCUGGGGAUUAAACACAGGGCCUUGAGCAUGUGAAGCAGGCACUCUAC